rnacentral:rRNA from 1 species
CCUACGGGUGGCAGCAGUGGGGAAUAUUGCACACUGGGGGAAACCCUGAUGCAGCGACGCCGCGUGAGUGAAGACGUAUUUCGGUAUGUAACGCUCUGUCAGCAGGGAAGAAAAUGACGGUACCUGACCAAGAAGCCACGGCUAACUACGUGCCAGCAGCCGCGGUCAUACGUAGGGCGCAAGCGUUAUCCGGAUUUACUGGGUGUAAAGGGAGAGUAGCUGGCAGGGCAAGUCUGGAGUGAAAGGCGGGGGCUCAACCCCCGGACUGCUCUGGAAACUGCCCGGCUGGAGUGCAGGAGAGGUAAGUGGAAUUCGUAGGGGAGCGGUGAAAUGCGUAGAUAUUAGGAGGAACACCAGUGGCGAAGGCGGCUGACUGGACUGUAACUGACGCUGAGGCUCGAAAGCGUGGGGAGCAAACAGGAUUAGAUACCCGUGUAGUC